GAAGUGCAGGAUCUACAGGAUCGCUGAGGGGAGGAAGAGAAGCCGAGUGGUUUCUGGGCUCCUGCAAGAGUCGAAGCAGCAGCAGCAGCAGCUGGAGGAUGAAGAGGAUACCAAUAAGAGCACUCUGGACAACUG